ensembl:lncRNA
CAGGCUCGGUGGAAGAUGGUAAAGUCAGAACGUACCUAUUGUAGCUGUUGCUUUAAACUACCCUGGGUCGUUGUACAUUCAAGCCUAGCGCAGCAUUAUUUUCAGCGUGAAACCGCAAAAUGUUUUCAGAGCCGCUAUCACAUAAAUUAGCAGCGCGCCAGGCUGACAGCACGCUGCUGACGGGCAGAUUUCCUUCGCGUUCACUAACUCGUAACCAAAGAAAAAAUACAAUUUAGCUACUCGUGUGAUGUGACACCAACCCGUCGUAGCAAACUUCUGUCAACUUGCUACUGAGACUGAAUAUGUUUGACUUGCAUAGAGUGGUCAUAAUAUGGGUUAUGUGUAUAAUCCGUUUUUUACGCAAACAUGCGAUCCAACCUGUUGCAAAUUUAACAUGAAUAGCCCAUAGUCUACAUACUAUUGUCUUGUCCAUUGUUUUGUUUUUUAAGAAAACCAAUACAAAUGUAUCAGUGUUUGUGUAUUCAUUUGAGAGUUCAAUUCACUUGCUAGAAAUAAGCGCAUCAGAACUUCCCAGUUUAUUCUCAUUUAGCAGCCUGGGGCACCUGUGGCUCAGAACACAUUUUAUGAUCUGAGGGGUGGAGCCUUUGGUUACUUCACCACAGACCCUGUGGUAUAAAGUAGGCAAAGGCUCCACCUCUCAGCGAUCACCUAGGUGAGGACUCAAAGAGAAACCUGCACAUACAGAGAGUACCCCAAGACAAAACAUUCCUAUGAGACGCCAGUACCAGUAUGGCAGAAUUCAUCAAGAAGACAGUGUUGGAUGAAACCCCCAGUAAAAGGGGGUAAAAAGGUUGAGGUCCAUGUGAUUAAAAUAAAAAAAAUCACACAAUUACUAAAGAAAACACCUGGAGGACCUAAGGCUUUCUGGUAGUUUCUGAAACACUCCACACACAAAAUAAAUGAAAAAGGGAGCCUGAAUGUGGUUAAAUGCAAGUUUGUUACAAUCUUCUCAUUUGGUGUGGGGAAAUGCCAUGCACUUGUAACGGAUGUGAAAUAGCUAGAUAGUUAGUAGUGCACGCUAGUAGCGUUUCAAUCAGUGACGUCACUCGCUCUGAGACCUUGAAGUAGUUUUUCCCCUAGCUCUGCAAGGGCUGCGCAUUUUGUGGCGCGAUGGGUAAAGAUGCUUCGAGGGUGACUGUUGUCUGUCUGCAUAGGGUCCCUAGUUUGAGCCCAGGUAGGGGCGAGGAGAGGGACGGAAGCUAUACUGUUACAUUGGUGCCGUGACCCGGAUCACUGGUUGCUGCGGAAAAGGAGGAGGGUGAGUGUAACCGAUGUGAAAUGGCUAGCUAGUUAGCGGUGGUGCUCGCUAAUAGCAUUUCAAUUGGUGACGUCACUUCUCUGAAACCUUGAAGUAGUUGUUCCCCUUGCUCUGCAAGGGCCGUGUCUUUUGUGACGCGAUGGGUAACGAUUCUUCGAGGGUGACUGUCUGUGUGCAGAGGGUCCCUGGUUCAAGCCUAGGUAGGGGCGAGGAGAGGGACAGAAGCUAUACUGUUACACACUCAAAACAAUUAACAAAACUACCAGAACAGUUAUGGUCAGAUGGCAUUUCAUAAAGUAAAGAAGUACUUUAUGGUCACACACGUGUUUAGCAGAUGUUAUUGCGGGUAUAGCGAAAUGCUUAGUUUUCUAGCUCCGGCAGUGCAGUAAUGUCUAACAGUUUCACAACAUAUACAC